CCUACGGGUGGCUGCAGUUAGGAAUAUUGGUCAAUGGGCGUAAGCCUGAACCAGCCAAGUCGCGUGAGGGAUGAAGGUUCUAUGGAUCGUAAACCUCUUUUAUAAGGGAAUAAAGUGUGGGACGUGUCCUGUUUUGAAUGUACCUUAUGAAUAAGGAUCGGCUAACUCCGUGGCAGCAGCCGCGGUAAUACGGAGGAUCCGAGCGUUAUCCGGAUUUAUUGGGUUUAAAGGGUGCUUAGGCGGACUUUUAAGUCAGCGGUGAAAGUCUGUGGCUCAACCAUGGAAUUGCCGUUGAAACUGGAAGGCUUGAGUAUGUUUGAGGCAGGCGGAAUGCGUGGUGUAGCGGUGAAAUGCUUAGAUAUCACGAAGAACCCCGAUUGCGAAGGCAGCCGGCCAAGCCAUGACUGACGCUGAUGCACGAAAGCGUGGGGAUCAAACAGGAUUAGAUACCCGAGUAGUC
rnacentral:rRNA from 1 species